rnacentral:lncRNA from 1 species
UCCCUCAGAUGUGCGGCAAUCUGCUCAUUUAUGCUUCUCAGGCAGCUUUCUGCGUCUGAGCCGAUCUACCUGGGCCUCAGCCAGUGCUUCUCAACAGUGCAGCGAUGGCCUUAGAGCGGCUUGUGCUUCGUUCUGUCAGGGGCCCAGAGUGAACUGGGAGGCCCUCCCUCCUGAAGAAUCUGACAAGGCACCAGCUUCCUGGAAUGUCCCCUCCCUGUUCUGCUUCAGCUGAAAACAGACUCUGGAAGAGAAGCUGAUGGGCAUACUUUCACGACCCCGAUCCUGGUAAUCUCUACACCUGAUGUGAGUCUCAAACUCAACCCUGAGAUGAAGAGUCACACACUCCACCAACUGAGCCAGCCAGCGAUCCCCUGAAUCUUCCUUUCUGGAGUGCAAGAAAGACAACCAUCUAUCUUUUCCACCAAGAUAAACAUACAAAGACGUGCUUCAACACUGUCCUUAAUCCCUUCAGAGUUGAUUUCAUGUGAGUGGUGUUAAAUGGGCGUCCUGUUCCAUUUUUAAUCCAUAUGUCUGUUUUUCUAGUUCCAGCUACUGAAUAGUUCCUCUUCCCUCCCCUCCACUAGUAUGGCAUAACUAUUAAUAUUGUAUUUCACACCGAAUCUUCAUAGGAAGAAAACAUUUUUCACUCAUAGUCCUAAUAAAAUAUUAUGUUGA